GACGAACGCUGGCGGCGUGCUUAACACAUGCAAGUCGAACGGAAAGGCCCUGCUUUUGUGGGGUGCUCGAGUGGCGAACGGUGAGUAACACGUGAGUCACCUGCCCUUGACUUUGGGAUAACUUCAGGAAACUGGUGCUAAUACCGGAUAGGAGCUCCUGCUGCAUGGUGGGGGUUGGAAAGUUUCGGCGGUUGGGGAUGGACUCGCGGCUUAUCAGCUUGUUGGUGGGGUAGUGGCUUACCAAGGCUUUGACGGGUAGCCGGCCUGAGAGGGUGACCGGCCACAUUGGGACUGAGAUACGGCCCAGACUCCUACGGGAGGCAGCAGUGGGGAAUAUUGCACAAUGGGCGGAAGCCUGAUGCAGCAACGCCGCGUGCGGGAUGACGGCCUUCGGGUUGUAAACCGCUUUCGCCUGUGACGAAGCGUGAGUGACGGUAAUGGGUAAAGAAGCACCGGCUAACUACGUG
rnacentral:rRNA from 1 species